GAUAUGGCUCAGGAUGAACGCUAGCUACAGGCUUAACACAUGCAAGUCGAGGGGAAACGAUAUUGGAAGCUUGCUUCCGAUAGGCGUCGACCGGCGCACGGGUGAGUAACGCGUAUCCAACCUGCCCACCACUUGGGGAUAACCUUGCGAAAGUAAGACUAAUACCCAAUGAUAUCUCUAGAAGACAUCUGAAAGAGAUUAAAGAUUCAUCGGUGAUGGAUGGGGAUGCGU
rnacentral:rRNA from 1 species